AUACGUAGGGUGCGAGCGUUGUCCGGAAUUACUGGGCGUAAAGAGCUCGUAGGUGGUUUGUCGCGUUGUUCGUGAAAACUCACAGCUUAACUGUGGGCGUGCGGGCGAUACGGGCAGACUGGAGUACUGCAGGGGAGACUGGAAUUCCUGGUGUAGCGGUGGAAUGCGCAGAUAUCAGGAGGAACACCGGUGGCGAAGGCGGGUCUCUGGGCAGUAACUGACGCUGAGGAGCGAAAGCGUGGGGAGCGAACAGGAUUAGAUACCCUGGUAGUCCACGCCGUAAACGGUGGGUACUAGGUGUGGGUUUCCUUCCUUGGGAUCCGUGCCGUAGCUAACGCAUUAAGUACCCCGCCUGGGGAGUACGGCCGCAAGGCUAAAACUCAAAGAAAUUGACGGGGGCCCGCACAAGCGGCGGAGCAUGUGGAUUAAUUCGAUGCAACGCGAAGAACCUUACCUGGGUUUGACAUCCUGCGAAUCUCUUGGAAACGAGAGAGUGCCUUCGGGAACGCAGUGGCAGGUGGUGCA
rnacentral:rRNA from 1 species